rnacentral:tRNA from 1 species
GGUUUCGUAGUGUAACGGUGAUCACGUUGGAUUUUGACUACAAUUCAGAAACUUCCAAAGAUCCGAGUUCGAUUCUCGGCGAGACCU